CAAAUUCUGUUUAUUACAAUUAAAAGUAGAAACAAACAUAAUUUUCUCCUACCACGAAACAUCAUAUAUUAAAAUCCUAUCAUUUACUUUAAUUGAAAGUAGCGAAGGGAGACUGAACGAGUAUUUUACCUCCUGGUCAUUCGGUUUCGAGUAAUGGAGGGCAGAGGAGAUUGCGCAGCUGCGAUCUACGCUGGAAAAGAAGAGGAGAUUGCGACUAGCAAUCCUCGACGGUCCAAGGGAGAGGGGAAUCGCCUCACCGACAAUCUCUGUGAAGAGUGAGGGGCAAAAGAGAUUGCCGCUGGCGUUCUCAACCAUGGAGAAAUAGGACCACCUAGCGGCAAUCCCGGUUGAGGGAGAAGAGAUCGCUUCAUCAGUGAUCUUUGUGGCGGAGGAGAGAUAGCCCAGAGGCGAUCUUGAGCGAGAAAGGAGAGAACCGCGAGCCGGGCAGGGGGGGGGGGGGAAUGGAGAGAAGAGAAGAUAGAAAAGAGGAGAAGCAUAAGAAGCGUCUAUGUGUCGCGGUUGGCCGAUUGCCACCGUAGAAACGAACGGCUGAGGCUGGAUCUGUGGGAUCCGGUGAUUCCCGUGCGUGUGGCGUCCCGCCGCUGCAUGUAGAGGCUUCUGUGAAGCUUGAUUAAGGGACUUGGCAGUGGGUCAUGCGCGACCGUGAAGGGAAAUGAUGGGUGCCGCAUUACAUGCCUCUUCUGGCGACGUGCUGGUUCUAUCAAACCCAAACACCUCAUGCGAUGAACUGGGAACAUUUCCCUUGGGAUCCCAGACUGGUUCAAGGUAAAACUCCUAAAAUUAGUUCUAAGUAUCAAUAUAGAUAAUUUAGUGGUUAAAUUGAAUUCUAAGUCAUAGAAAAAAUUAUUAAAAUCUAUGUAUAGUUUUUGCUGGAAAAUUUGGAAGUGGGAAAGUAUCAAGGAUUGUAAAUUGAACGGUCAGUCUUAAAAAAUGAGUGUAGUAAUAUGCAUUGUUUUCAAAAUUCGAAAAUUAAAUAGUUUAAAGAGAGAAAUUAAUCGAGGAAUAAGUAGGGAUGGAAAAUAAUUAAAUGUGGAAAUUGGAAAAGAAUUUAAAAAUGGAUUUUCAUUGGUGAUGCAUGUGGUGUGUAUGUGUUUGAAAGUGAAAGUGAAUGUUUUGAGUUUGAAUGAAUAAGUUUAUUAAGAUUGAUAUGAAAAGAAAAUGGAAAACAAUUAGGAGAUAAAAGUGGAGAAAUAAACGAAUAAGAGAAGAUUCAAAGAAAUUAAUUGGAAUGGGAAAAGAAAGUGGAAA